rnacentral:lncRNA from 1 species
UCUAUAUAGAACUAUGAGUAUGGGAAAAUAUGGAUGGUGGUUAAAGUGGAUUAUCUUCCUAUGAAGAAUGGAGUGGGGCUGGGAUCAUAUGGAGUGAGGGGGAGAGGAGGAGAAAUGGAGAGCCAAAGUUAUAAAAAAAAUCAUCAUCAUAAUGGAAAUAUAUUUUGUCUGCAUCCUACCCGUCUGGCAGAUAUCAGAUUUAGAAUUCUCAAGUUUUAAUUUCCAUUUUGCUAUAGCAACAGCCAACUAAUGGCAGGACCUUCCUGAGUGAGUUAACACUGGAUGAUAGCUCAAAAUAGAGCCUUCUGAUUGGAAGACAUAAGCCACAUAUAGGAUUGUUAAUUCCAUAAAUAAGGGCUAUAAAUAGGAACUGGGAUCAUAGUUAAGCAUAUCAGAGAAAAACAUGUGGGUGUAUAAAUUAUGUUCUUUAAAUACACUGGAAUUUUUGUAACUCAAAAUUAUUUAUUCAGUAGACUAGGUAACUAGUGAACAAGUUUCCUACAAGCUCUGAAAUCCUACUCUCCUAGGAUCUAGUUCUUGGACUGGAUUUGCACAUUGAAUAUUAAGGAAGGAAAGAAGGAAAAUGACAUUUAAUGCCGUGUGCCGUGCUCUUUCUAGUGGCCGUUCCAAGGACUGGCUUUGGGGAACAAACUCCAUAAACCACCCCUCAAAGUCACCACGUGUAAAUAUAUGAUCAAAGUCAAUAUUGUGUUUGCCAUGCAAAUAGCCCUUCAAGACACAGCCCUCAUCCUCUUCCCACACUGCUAGCCCUUAUCUUGUCCUAGAGGGAGAUCUGGAAGCCUGCCAACAGCACUGCAUUUCUAUGCAAUUUAAUCAUCACAACUGCUGUGUAAAACUAGAUGACAUUCCCAUUUUACAGAUAAGGAAAUAGUGGCUCAGAGAGGUCACAUGGUGUUCAAAGGUAGGUCUCCUUACUGCAAAGUCAGGGUCUGCUCUGUUGUAGUAGUACUUUGUAUUAUUAUUUGCAAACGACAGAAACCACUUCUGGCUGGUUUAUGUACAUGAGGAAUUUAAUUAAUAGGAAUAUUGGAAAAAUCGACCUCAGAACUGUGCAACCUUAAGCAAUGCUCAAAAUUAGACCAAAUAAUGAACUGAAUUAAGGAACAACUACUGAAUUCUAUAGCUUGGACAACUGGCGAUGGUGACAGAUCACUGGAUGAUGGAUGCUCUCACUAGCACUGCUGUCUGGGCUACCUAAGUGACUUGAUUGUGCUGCCCUUACCAUUGACCCCCAUCACAGUUGUCCUCGCCUUACAUCAUUUGUAUAUCAAAGUUCCAGCACCUGUUUAGUGAAGUCGGCCUAAAACAGGGGUUUUGAAAACUUCACUAUGUGGGCAUUUCCGUUAUGGCUCAACAUGUUAUGAACCCAACUAGUAUCCAUGAGGUCGCGGGUUUGAUCCCUGGCCUCACCUAGUAGGUUAAGGAUCUGGCAUUGCUGUGAGCUGUGGUGUAGGUCACAGAUGUGGCUCGGAUCUGGCAUUGCUGUGGGUGUGGCGAAGGCCAGCAGCUGCAGCUCUGAUUAGACCCCUAGCCUGGGAACUUCUAUAUGCUGCAGGUGCAGCCCUAAAAAUAAAUAAAUAAAUAAAAAAGCUUUACUAUGCAAUGGAAUCACCGAUGAAGCUCCUCUCUCUCUCCCUCUCUCCCUCUCUCCUUCUUCUCCCUCUUGUCCCUCUAUGUCCCUCUCUUUCUCUCUCCACCCCAGAGAUGAUUUUGAGUCAGUUGGUCCUGGGUUUCCAAAACUCCACUGAUGAAUCCGCUGCAGACCCAAGGUGAAGGACUGUUGGGCUAUUCCUGGCCCAUGUUUGGUUACCAGGCCUCCUUGAUAAGAAGAAUCACCUGAGUAUAUGUUAAGGUAAAUCUUUCCCUGGCCUCUUCUCACAGCCACUUAGAAUCAUCUUGAGAAAAAUUUGUGUAGAUGUUAAGAACCCCGGGUGAUUCUCAUCGGGGAGGUUAGGAACGUGCUCUUCUACAACAGAUGUCAAUACUUUAGCAGCAAGGGAGGCGGGCAAAGCAAGUAUUUUCAGUCUCUCUACGGGAGAAGGGGAUCCUGCCUCCCAUCAAAACUCAUGAGGUAAGGAUUCCCCGUACAUUGGAAGGGGGUUCAUAUCCUGGACUGCUGGAAAGAAUGACAAAUGCCUGUUGCAGUCCCACACAGCUUCCUUAGAGAUACAGGAUUUCUUUAAAUGGGUUGUGUAUUUUCUUCCAAAUACUUUGUUUUCUUCUGACUAAAACAUCAACUCUCUUAGCAUACAUCCUUGCCAAGAAAACAACAUUACUACUGCUUAAGUUAAUCUUUGUGCACACAUUAAAAAAAAGAGAGGGUGCUUGAUCUGAGUUGCUUAAAGAGACUAUGGCUGAACUCUUGAAUGCUAUCCUGGUUUGAUCUCAUUUAGGUAGAAAGAAGCUGAAGCAAACUUUAGCCCUGAAGAAAUAUGAUAAAAUAAAUAUGAUAAAGGCCUGACUAUUGCUAGGAUAAUUAGCAUAAAAUAUCCUUCAGUUGUUUCCUCAGUGUUGCCGUAUAUGGGUUAUGAAUGAUAUUUAGGAAACAAAAUACCUUAAUAUAUUGCAUUCUUUAAAGAUGACUCCUUUGAGGAUCUGAUAUUGUCCUUUACUUAGAGUUUAAUUUAAUUUUCUUAUGUUUUCAGAAAUGGCCUUUCUACAUAAUGCAGUCUGUAUCUCUCCAGCCAAGAGUCCUAAUUCCUUACACAGAGUGUAACCCAGUGUAAACAUUCCAAUUUCAACUGCAUUUAAACAUCAAUGUGUUCCUUCACCUGGGAGAAAAUAGUCUCCUCAUCCGUACUGCCAAUCAAUUAACUUCCUUUCAUAGUGACAUUUAGGAGGAAAGACACCCUGCCUCUAUAUUCCUUACACAAUCAACUGCCCAAGUUGCCCAAACUAAAAGUUAGAUAACAGUGAUAAGGAUAUGCUAUUUAACCUUCUCCAUCACCAGGGAAAAAGAACAUUGAUGACACAUGUUGCAACUUCAAACACUCAAAGCUGGCUGUUUGCAGUCAGUGGGUUUUUCAAAAUAACAUUUGUUGCAGUUGUUCUCAGUAAAUUUUAUAGCAGAUCACUCAUCCUAAGUUACUAUCUAGAGAUGCUGAUGAAGUUACUGGGGAAAAGAUUUGAUUGAUAAGAUGCUGUCUCCAUACCACCUGUUUAAAAGCAAGGGCCAAAUCUGGUGUCUACUAAUUAAGGAAAACUCUUCUUUGAUGGGAAUAUUGUGGUCAUUUUGGGUUCAAAAUGUUCAAUGGAAUUGUGGCGUCUUGACCUCCUGAUGGAACAGGGCCCUAGGCUGGUAAUCAAAAGUAUCUCUCCACAUCCAGGACUGAGCAACCAGCAUCAUUACCACAGAUUACAGUACCAUUUGUUUCUUGCUCUUUAGUUGGGGCCAGGUGAUUAGUGGUGCCAGCUGAGGUUACACAGUUUCAAAUUUGCCAGCCCAGGUUCCUGGGGUCAAGCACACUGGGAUGAUCACUACUACUGCUUUAAAGGGAACUAAAAGGGAAAGGGGGGUUUAGUCUGAAGGUGUGUCUGAGAAGGUUUCGCUUGUGGUCAGAGAGCAUCUGAAGUCACCUGGUAGUAGAAGCCUUGAGAAGUCCGUGGUAGUCAAACCUCUCCUAGAGAUCUGCUGCUUUUUACAUUUCAGCCCUUCCUGGUCAGCAUCAAGGAGCACUGGCCACAAAGGAUACUGUGCCACUUCCAUUCUGCUUUUGAGAAAAGACUGAGGUUAGGUGACAAUCUGUUUCUAAUGCACUGUUUUGUAAUUGGUAAUUUACAAAACGAUUAUGUAUAAAUAGAGUAUUUGUUCUCAAUAUCAUUAAAUCGCCUUUGGACUAGAUCAGAGGUCUACUCUUUCUCUGUGAAGACCAAGAUGCCAAAUAUUUUAGACUUUCUGGGCAGUAUGGUCUCUGUUACAACUACUCAACUUUGCUGUUGUAGUACAAAAACAACCAUAGCCAAAUAUAAACAAACGAAUGUAGCUGUGUCCCAAUAAAACUUUAUUUACAAAAACAUCUGGCCUGAUAUAAACUGUGACAUUGUCAUACACUCAGUAAUCAUAAUGGCAUUGACACAAGAGUCUUAAGAUCUUAACUUAUGUCCAGGUUUUAUUACCUGCUAGCUGUAUGAUCUUUGGGAAGUCAUUUUACCUUUUUAAGCCUGAGUUUCCAAUUCUCUAAAAUGGAAUUACCUACUUCAAAUAUCUGUUGAGAGAAUAAUAAAAAAGAAUAUGUAAUUGAAGUAAUAUUAGUGGUUGUUAUCUAUUGUGAACUUAUUAAGUGCUAGGCAUUAUGUUAGGAGUUCCUGUCGUGGCGCAGUGGUUAACGAAUCCGACUAGGAACCAUGAGGUUGCGGGUUCGGUCCCUGCCCUUGCUCAGUGGGUUAGGGAUCUGGCGUUGCUGUGAGCUGUGGUGUAGGUUGCAGACGCGGCUCGGAUCCCACGUUGCUGUGGCCCUGGCGUAGACUGGUGGCUAUGGUUCCGAUUAGACCCCUAGCCUGGGAACCUCCAUAUGCCAUGGGAGCGGCCCAAGAAAU